UGCGGAAGGAUCAUUAACGAAGCUAGCGCUCGCGCGCAACGCU
rnacentral:rRNA from 2 species